UCCUUGACCCAAAAACAAAAGUCUUGGUCCUGAACCUAGUAUUAUCCACCUCCCCGGUAUACAUGCAAGCCUCAACUCAACAGUGAGUUGCCCACCCGAUCAGUACGACCGAGUGGAGCCGGCAUCAGACGCGGGGCCCCGACCCAGUCUAUGACGCCAAGAACCCAAAACCACACCUACACAGGUACUCAGCAGUAACUAACAUUAGGCCAUAAACGAAAGUUCGACCUAGUUACGGAGAAAAAAGCCGGUAAAACUCGUGCCAGCUACCGCGGUUAUACGAGAGGCUUAAGACAAUGCUCAACGGCGUAAAGAUGAUCAAAAAGCAUCAAAAAAUUAAGGAUAAACCGCCACUGGCUGUCCAACGCCAAGAUCAAGGGAAAAACAACACCUUAACCCACACGACUUUUCCAAUCAUUAAAGCUGGGGCACAAACUAGGAUUAGAUACCCUACUAUGCCCAGCCAUGACAAGGCAGCACUAAACAUCAACUGCCCGCCCGAUUAGUACGAGCGAAAGCUCAAAACUCAAAGGACCUGACGGUGACCCACAUCUGUCUAGAGGAGCCUGUUUCGUAAUCGAUAACCCCCGCUUAACCUCACCACUCCUAGCCAAUCAGCCUAUCUACCGCCGUCGCCAGCCCACCCUGUGAAGGCACCAAAGUGAGCACAACAGUUGAUACACUAAGACGACAGGUCAAAGCGUAGCACAUGAAGUGGAGAAAAAUGGGCUACAUUUUCUAUAAAGAACACACGGAAGGACGAAAUGAAAAAGCGCCUGAAGGUGGAUUUAGCAGUAAGGUCGGAUAAAACACCCACCUGAACAGAGCACUGGGACGCGUACACACCGCCCGUCACCCCCACCCCCCCCAUCACCACACCUCCUUAACCACAAGAUAGCCCAAAGGUGGGGUAAGUCGUAACAUGGUNAGNGUACUGGAAAGUGCGCUUGAACA
rnacentral:ncRNA from 1 species